GGGCGCAUAGCUCAGCUGGUUAGAGCGUACGGUUCACAUCCGUAAGGUCCCUGGUUCGAACCCAGGUGCGCCCACCA
rnacentral:tRNA from 1 species